rnacentral:rRNA from 1 species
UCUCCUUUACUUUUUGUACUGGAGAUUUUGUUACUUUGAGUAAAUUAGAGUGUUCAAAGCAAACAGUUAAAGCAUUUUACUGCGUUUGAAUACUACAGCAUGGAAUAACAAAAUUGAACAAGUCAAAACUCUGUUCCUUUUUCUUAUUUUGGCUUAGUUACGAUUAAUAGGAGUAGCUUGGGGGCAUUUGUAUUCAGAUGUCAGAGGUGAAAUUCUUAGAUUUUCUGGAGACAAACAACUGCGAAAGCAUUUGCCUAAAAUACUUCCAUUAAUCAAGAACGAAAGUUAAGGGAGUGAAGACGAUCAGAUACCGUCGUAAUCUUAACCAUAAACUAUGCCGACUAGGUUUUGGAUGAAAGAUUUUUAAAUAAGAAAAUUCCUUUUGGAAAUUUCUUAGAUUGCUUCCUUCAGUACCUUAUGAGAAAUCAAAGUCUUUGGGUUCUGGGGCGAGUAUUCGCGCAAGCGAGAAAGUUAAAAGAAUUGACGGAAGGGCACCACCAGGCGUGGAGCUUGCGGCUUAAUUUGACUCAACACGGGGAAACUCACUAGUUUAAGACAAGAGUAGGAUUGACAGAUUAAUAGCUCUUUCUUGAUUUCUUGGAUGGUGAUGCAUGGCCGUUUUUAGUUCGUGAAUAUGAUUUGUCUGGUUAAUUCCGAUAACGAACGAGAUCUUAACCUGCUAAUUAGCGGCGAAUACGUUAUAUUCCUACUUGAAAUUGAAUAUAGCUGAAUUGCAUAAUUGGAGAAAAAAAAACCAGAG